rnacentral:misc_RNA from 1 species
GAAAUGCGAUAAGUAAUGUGAAUUGCAGAAUUCAGUGAAUCAUCGAAUCUUUGAACGCACAUUGCGCCCUUUGGUAUUCCGAAGGGCAUGCCUGUUCGAGCGUCAUUAUAACCACUCAAGCCUUCGCUUGGUAUUGGGGUUCGCGGUCUCGCGGCCCCUAAAAUCAGUGGCGGUGCCUCUCGGCUCUACGCGUAGUAAUACUCCUCGCGAUUGAGUCCGGCAGGUUGCCUGCCAGCAACCCCUUAUUUUUACAGGUUGACCUCGGAUCAGGUAGGGAUACCCGCUGAACUUAA